CGCACCAUAUAACUCCGCCGGUUUUACACCGUUGCAAUUCAAAAAGCUAAAACCUGUAAACAAAAACCCUAUUAAAGUUGUCUGCUUUAGGUUUGUGAUUUCUUUAGAUUCUUGAUUUCCUGUGAAAUGAUCGAAGUGGUGUGUAUGGCAUAUGCGAACCAGAAUCAAGGUGUUUUUGUUCCGUAUCAUCAAUUGAUUGAUCUUCGCUCUCUGAACCAACCUGUUACCUUCGUCACCGGACCACCCAUCGCUCUCAAUUUCAUAAACCCUAGCAAUGGGACAGUAUUGGUUCCACCCAAGCCAACCCUAGUUCCUUCUUUUGGUUUCGCUUUGGACCUAGCUUUUCUGGUUCGAAUCGAGGAGGCAAGGUCACGGUCUCUGCUUCAGUUCAGUUUAUGGCAGAUGAAGGACUUGUGCCUUCUCCAGAAGAGGAAAUUAGGAGGAAAAAUGCCAUUGAGAAGCUCAGACAGAUAGUGAUCGAAUGGAUUAAGAGUGUUGCUCACAAACGUCGGCUUCACAGACAACAUAUUACAGAUACUUCUGCCACUGUAUGAACAUAUGGAUCGUGUGGCCUUGGAGGAAGUCAUUUGAUUGGAAGUUCAUAAUUCAGAGUUAGAUAUUGAUGCUUUAUGUGUCGGCCCCUGCUUUGCUACUUUGGCAGAGGAUUUUCUUUGUUUUCCUACACAACAUGCUUACAAGCAGAACAGAAGUAUCUGAGGUCCACUGCGUCAAGGAUGCAAAAGUUCCUCUAAUGCAGUUUAAACUUGAUGGGAUUUCAUUUGAUCUUCCAUAUGCUCAACUUAAAGUAAUGUCUAUUCCUGAGCUGAGUGUGAUGCAUGUAGAACCAACUCUUUCAAAACAGUCAAUUCCUACAGUUGUUUCUGCAUAUACACAAGGAUCUCAUAAUGUGGACAUACUCAACCCUUUCUUUCAAAGCAACAUUGAUGAAAAGAGCUGGAGAAGUUUGUCUGGAGUUCAUGCUAACAAAUGCAUUCUUCGGCUUCUCCCGAAUAUGGAGGUAUCAAGCAUGCUAUCUAUGGGUUCCUACGGUAAUUAUUUUUGUUCUAGGUGCAAAGUAGUUCUGCUGGUUUUCAAGGUUGAACGCCAGAGUAGAAUUUGUCUCUAUUUCUUGAAUCUUGCACCUGCAUUAGGAAAUAAUUUAGCUAAUUCUUAUUAGCAUGCUCUCUAUGGCAUCAAACCAUGAAUACCUGUGGGGUUUCGUUUUCGAAACUGCUGCCACCUUGAUAUUAAUAUAUGCAUGAUAAUCAUUCUCUUUCAGCUCUCAUUUUUUGUGCGCUAGGUGGUGCUUUCAAAGUUCUUGUAGAUCUCAUAUAUUCUCGGAUUGUUCUAUUCCAAGUAUUCAAAUCACUACUGCGAUGUGUUAAAUUAUGGGCGAAAAGGCGAGGACUGUAUGGUAAUGUAAGGGCAUAUUAGCUUGGUAUAGGGUCACAUUUGAGAUUUGUCUUUAUGUGUUCUCCCCUCGCCUCUGUCAAGGGUAAAGAAAUCCUAGGUUUUUUGGCGGAGUCCAUUUAACUAUUCUUGUGGCAUUUAUUUGUCGAAAAAUGCUUGGGAGCACUAAUUAGUGCUCCCACUAAUUAGGUGGCAGUGGGUCCCGCCAUUAAUGAUGUGAUGUUUUGGUCUUGGAGUUGUAUUUUUUUUUUUUUUUUUACUUUUUUAAUGCAUUAGUGCUAUUAGUGGUGAUGUUUUUAGUGGGAUGAAUCAUUGUUGUUAUUUGUCAAAGGCACCCAAAUGUGAGCUUGAAUGGUUUGAUUUCGAAUUUCUUUAAGACAUUUGCCUCUUGGGAUUGGCGAACUCUAGUAAUUCUGCAAGAUGGGAUGGUGCCCAUGACUAUAAGUGCCAGUGAAAUACGGUCCUUGAUGCCCAUUAGACUUCCAUGCAGACCACAUGAAUAUUGCCAUUCUAAUAUCACCAAGAGCACCUUCUACUGAAUCAGGACAGAGUUUCACCAAGGGCAUGCUUUGACAAAGGAUAUCCUGAGACCACAUUUUGGUUGGGCUUGCCUAUUUGAGCCUUUUCUGUAUACAAAAAAAGUACACAUGAUUUGUCAAAAUAUGUCUUGCAGCUUCUGAUCAAGAUGAGUUACGAAAAUGGGUGGGUUGGGUUAAGUCACAGUUCUGCAGCCUUCUUGUUAAGGUUAGUGUCUUCAUCUCAUUUAAGAUUAUUAACUUCUUGUUGAUAACUACUGUGAUUGUUUAGGCAACUACAUGUGUAUUCUCUGUACUUACUGGUUGUGUGGUAAAUUUGGUACUUUUUUCAAACUAUGAAUAUUUCUUAUUUAUACUAUUAUUUAAUUUGAAACCAAUAACCGGGCAAUCAAUUGAAAUUUGUCUUCUAUAAGCGAGUUUGAAUUCUCAGUUUUUCACUCCGACAAAUGGAAUUUGAAGUUCUACAGUGUCGCAUUGAAUUUUCUGCCAUUUUGUUAUAGUUGAUGCUUAAAGCUGUGUACCAUCAUCUGUUCAUCCGGGUGAUUAGGUCAAGGUGCUUUUUUCAUUUUAUCUUCGUAGAUGAUAAGGAUUUUAGAUUUCACUUUAGCUGUUGUCUAACAUUCAGUAGUUGUCGAUUUUAUUUCAUUGUAACAACACAUGCGUAAAUGUGAUUUUUCCGCAACUGGAGUGGAUACGUUGUCUUUCAUUUAGACCAUACUUAAUGACAUUGCUUUUUUUGUGCAGCUUUGAGAGUGCUCGUAUCAGUUUUUAGUCCAUUUGAUAUCGGCUUCCAAGUUCAUAUUGGGAACUGUGGUGAAUGCUUCGAUAUUGUUAUUCAAUUUUUGCUGGAUGAUUUUUUUCCCC